rnacentral:rRNA from 2 species
GCGAACGGGUGAGUAACACGUGGGCAAUCUGCCCUGCACUCUGGGACAAGCCCUGGAAACGGGGUCUAAUACCGGAUAACACUCCCGCACUCAUGUGUGGGGGUUAAAAGCUCCGGCGGUGCAGGAUGAGCCCGCGGCCUAUCAGCUUGUUGGUGAGGUAAUGGCUCACCAAGGCGACGACGGGUAGCCGGCCUGAGAGGGCGACCGGCCACACUGGGACUGAGACACGGCCCAGACUCCUACGGGAGGCAGCAGUGGGGAAUAUUGCACAAUGGGCGAAAGCCUGAUGCAGCGACGCCGCGUGAGGGAUGACGGCCUUCGGGUUGUAAACCUCUUUCAGCAGGGAAGAAGCGAAAGUGACGGUACCUGCAGAAGAAGCGCCGGCUAACUACGUGCCAGCAGCCGCGGUAAUACGUAGGGCGCAAGCGUUGUCCGGAAUUAUUGGGCGUAAAGAGCUCGUAGGCGGCUUGUCACGUCGGGUGUGAAAGCCCGGGGCUUAACCCCGGGUCUGCAUUCGAUACGGGCUAGCUAGAGUGUGGUAGGGGAGAUCGGAAUUCCUGGUGUAGCGGUGAAAUGCGCAGAUAUCAGGAGGAACACCGGUGGCGAAGGCGGAUCUCUGGGCCAUUACUGACGCUGAGGAGCGAAAGCGUGGGGAGCGAACAGGAUUAGAUACCCUGGUAGUCCA